GAUGAACGCUGGCGGCGUGCCUAAUACAUGCAAGUCGAGCGAACAGUUGAGGAGCUUGCUCCUCUGACGUUAGCGGCGGACGGGUGAGUAACACGUGGAUAACCUACCUAUAAGACUGGGAUAACUACGGGAAACCGGAGCUAAUACCGGAUAAUAUAUUGAACCGCAUGGUUCAAUAGUGAAAGACGGUUUUGCUGUCACUUAUAGAUGGAUCCGCGCCGCAUUAGCUAGUUGGUAAGGUAACGGCUUACCAAGGCAACGAUGCGUAGCCGACCUGAGAGGGUGAUCGGCCACACUGGAACUGAGACACGGUCCAGACUCCUACGGGAGGCAGCAGUAGGGAAUCUUCCGCAAUGGGCGAAAGCCUGACGGAGCAACGCCGCGUGAGUGAUGAAGGUCUUCGGAUCGUAAAACUCUGUUAUUAGGGAAGAACAAAUGUGUAAGUAACUAUGCACGUCUUGACGGUACCUAAUCAGAAAGCCACGGCUAACUACGUG
rnacentral:rRNA from 1 species